ACAGCCUCAGCGGACAGGAAAUGAUCAACAGCUUCUCCUCUCGGAUCCACGUGGACUCAAGGAAUCUCCGGGGGGCAGGACAGGUGCAGAGCCGAGUGCAAAGGUGGAAUUCUAUUCCCAAAGCACAUCCCGCGCCCCUUUCCUCUGCAAAGUCCCGGAACCGCGUGACUCCGGAUGAGUUAUCGGGGCUGGAACCGAGGGUUCAGCCCCCUGCGCCUCUGUGUGUCCCGGUCCCUUUCCUCCAAGUAGACAGGAGGCAUCUCCUCAUCGGCUCAGUUCACAUUCCUCCAGGGGCUCAAAGGGGACCCAGUCCCUGUCUUGGGACACCAAGUCAGGCAGACUCCAGGAGAGAGGAAGGAAGAUGAUUCCCGCGCUCAGGUGGGCGGGUCCUGCUCCCUCUGUUGAAGACCUGAAGACAAAGAUUGACCCUCACCCUUCACCUCCCACCUCUUCCUCACCUUGGAAAAGAAAAACAUUCCUGAGAGGGGGGAUUUGUCAGCAGAAGGCUUUGGGACUAGAACUGCAGCAUCAGCUCUUCCUGGUUCCCCAGCGCCCAGGCCUACCCUGCAGAUGUGGGCUUACUGGCCUCCACGAUCAGUGAGCCGGUUCCUUAAAAUCAACCUCUCUCUCUUCCUCUGUCUCUCCCUCUCUCUCUCUCCCUGUCCACAUCCCAUUGGUUCUGUUUCUCUGGGGAAACCUGACUAAUAAGGGGACUCUCAAGGCCCUGGCUGAGGAUGGCAGGCCUGAAGAUUCUCUGAGGCAUUCAGCAUUGAAUGAGCACCAGCUGGGCGUGGAGCUGUGUCAGGCGCUGGGCACAGGACUCAGCCCCGGAACCAAGUGUGGGCCCACAUGGUGUGGGCCUUUGUCUGUCCCUGUCAUGGCUUUGGACACACGCGUGGCCCAGAGGGGACAACGGAUCUGGGUGGCGAGGUGGGAAAGCUCACCCCAGUAUUCCUCUUGGUGGCAGCAGUCCCUUAAGGGGUCGCCUGAGUCGUGAGACCCACAGGUGUGGACCUCCCCCCCCCCUUCCUCCCCUCUCCCCCAGUGACUUUAUCCAGCACCUGCCCUGCCCAGCCUUGCACAGGUUACCCUGUGACCCACUCACAGGGAGAUAGGGCAGCUUCUUUCUGCCCUCAGGAGCCUUGUUCUCAAGGCAGCUCAUCCAAGAGAAUAACAUACAGUAGAUUGCCACACACAUGACUGUGGCUUAGUCCAGGAAAGCCACUUAUAAAAUCCGGAGGUGAAGGAAGAAAAGAUUGAAAUCUCUGUAACAAAUCCAUUUCCCUCCUCCCUCCCUCCCUUCAUCUCCAAAGUAGACCUGCCCCAGGGCCAGGGAUCCUCUCCCUGCAAGGCUAGGUAACAAGCGGAUUUUUGCUUUUGAGCUUCAAGGUCCUGGCUUCUGGUGGUUUAUAGGUGAUCUUUGAGGGUGGUUUUGACGAGAGGCUUGUUAGCUUCUCUACGCUUUUGAAACGCCCACUCUCCCCACAAGAAUCUGGGACUUUGCAGAACCGGUCCAAGGUGAGAGUAGGAUUAAUUGCCAAAUGAGUUUUCUCAUAAGCCUGGGGUCCAAAGUACAUUGGACAGCCAGCAAAUGCUUAUGAGGGGUUUGAACAAGUGAAAUCAAGGCUCAAGGUCAUAGGACUCAAUGGAGAGUGAGGCAGCUGGGAUCUGGGAUGACCGGCAUGGGCCUCAAAGCAGGGGGCUUGGAAAUAGGCCCUGAAGAGGGGGUCGCUUGCGUGGCUAGGAAGGGGUUGGGGCCCACUAGCAUUUCUCAGAAUGCCUAUUUUCUUCGGCAGUGAGAGCUGGAGGGAGGGAUGGGUUUCUCAGCACAGUUCCAGUAUGAGUGGCUGUCACCACAGGGCGCCAUUGCCAAGUCAGAAAGAAACAAAGCUUAACCGCUGCCUCCUGUCCCCCAUGGUCUGUGAAAGUCUCAUACUGUAGUGCGUCUAAUGGUGGCCCCCCAAAAGAUACAUCUACAUUAUAAUUCCUGGGACCCAGAAAUGUGACCUUAUUUGGAAAAAGGGUCUUUGACCUUAUUUGGAAAAAGCGUCUUUACAAAUGUAAGUGACCUUAUUUGGAAAAAGUGUCUUUACAAAUGUAAUUUACAACAUUGAAUGAGCACCUGCUCUGUGUGGAGCUCCCUAUGUGGCCCAGGCUGGUCUUAAGGAUCGUGUGUGUGUGUGUGUGUGUGUGUGUGUGUGUGUGUGAGAGAGAUAGGGUCUCACUGUGUCAUCCAGGCUGGAAGGCAGUGGCACAAUCACGGCUCACUGCAGCCUCAACCUCCCAGGCUCAAGCGAUCCUCUGGCCUCAGCCUCCCGAGUAGCUGGGACUAGGGUUGCACACCACCACUCCUGGUUAAUUUUUUGUGUGUAUUUUUUGUAGAGACGAGGUCUCCCUAAGUUGCCCACGCUGGUCUUGAACUCCUGGGCUCAAGUGACCCACCUGCCUCGGCCUCUCAAAAUGCUGAGAUUAUAGGCAUGAGCCACUGUGCCCGGUUCAAGUUAAAGAUCUUGAGAUGAAAUGAUUCUUGGGAUCAUUAUCUUGGACGGAUUGUAAAUCCCAGGAUGAAUGUCCUUAUAUGAGACGCGCAGAGGAGAGACACAGAGAUGGAAGAGGAGAAGGCCAUGUGAAGGCAGAGGCAGCGACUUGAGAGUUGCAGCCACAAGCCAGGAUGGCCUGGAAGAGGCAGGAGCAGACUCUUCUUAGAGCCUCCAGAGGGAGUGUGGCCCUGCUGACACCUUGAUCUUGGACCCUUGGCCCAUCAGAGCUGUAAGAGAGUAAGUUUCUGCUGUUUGAGGUCAUCUGCUGCAGGAGCCCCCAGGAACAAAUACACCUCCCAAUCCCAUUUUUAAUUCCCGAGGGUUUGCACCCCCAGGACACUUCUUCCACACAUGCCCUGUUGUGCUCCGUAUUGCCCUGUGUCCAUUUGGAAGUGGGACUCCAUCCUGUUGAUACGUUCCACAUAAAAUAUACUUGUACCAAAAAUGUCUUGUUUUUAGGAGACUGUGGGGGAUGGGAGUUGGGGGAAGGGUUCCAUUUUCCAGGGCAAUUAUAGCUGUCCCUCAGUAUCCUAAAGGGUUUGGUUCCAGGACUCCUGCAGGUACCAAAAUUCAAGGAUGUCCAAGUCUCUGAUAUAAAAUGGCAUAGUAUUUGUAAAUAACCUAUGCACAUUCUCCUGUAUACUUUAAAUCAUCUCUAGAUUAUUUGUAAUACCUAAUACAAUGUAAGUGCUGUGUAAAUAGUUAUUGUACUGUAUUAGUUUUAAAAUUUGUGUUAUUUAUUAUUAUUAUUUUGAGACAGAGUCUCGCUCUGUCGCCAGGCUGGAGUGCAGUGGCAUGAUCUUGGCUCACUGUACCCUCCGCCUUCCAGGUUCAAGCGAUUCUCCUGCCUCAGACUCCUGAGGAGCUGGGACUACAGGUGCAUGCCACCACGCCCAGCUAAUUUUUGUAUUUUUAGUAGAGAUGGGGUUUCACCAUGUUGGCCAGGAUGGUCUCGAUCUCUUGACCUCAUGAUCCUCCCACCUUAGCCUCCCAAAGAGCUGGGAUUACAGAUGUGAGCCACCGUGCCUGGCCUAUUGUUGCUAUUAUUAAAAAAAAAAUUUGGAGAUGAGGUCUCAGUCUGUUGCCCAGGCUGGAGUGUAGUGACAUGAUUAUGGCUCACUGCAGCCUCAAACUCCUGGACUCAAGCUAUCCUGCCACCUCAGCCUGCCGAGUAGCUGAGACUACAGGUUCGUGCCACCACACCUGGCUAAUUUUUGUUUUUUUGGUUUUUGUAGAGCUGUGAUCUCAUUAUGUGUUGUCCAGGCUGGUCUCAAACUCCUGGCCUCAAGUGAUCCUCCCACCACAGUGCUGGGAUGGCAGGUGUGAGCCACUGUGUCUGGCCUGUUGUUAUUUUUAAAUUGCUUUUCUUUUUUCAAAUAUUUUUGAUCCAUGGUUGAUUGAAAUCUUGGAUGUGGAACCAGGGGGUAACUGAGGGCGAAUUGCACUGGGCUUUCCCUUGACUAAAUUUGGGCAAAAUAAAAUGAUCUCUAACCUUUGUAAAGCUAAUCAGACACCUCUAGGGUAGCAAAUCCUAAAAGAAAAAGAUCAGGCAUAUGAGUGCGUGUGUGUGUGCACGUGUAUCUGUGUUGCCAAGCUGUUCCCUCCCCCACCCCCACCACUUUGCUUUUGGAGGCAAAGGAAAGGCACCCUCCUGGCUAGCAGGCCAGAUGAGCCUUGUCACCUGGGGGAUAGGAUGCGACCCAGAUCUGCUCCUGAGCACAAAGAUGAGCAAAAUCAAAGGAAAUUGCAUGAGACUGAAGACCUUCUGUGUGGUCCUCCUGGGAGUGGCAGAAGUUUCUGGUGGAGGCGCAAAACAGGCCCCUGCUACACAUAACUUCCAUAACCACCAAUCCACAGGCAAUCCACCCACCCACACCACAUCCCAGGCCUCUCCUUUCCGUGCCUGACCUGUGCUCCCGUGGCCUGCAUGGGUGUGAGUCGCCUCUUUCUCCACUGCAGGCCUCUUCCAGGAUGUCCUGGUGAAGAACACCACUGCCUGUCCAAUUAUACUAGUCAGAACCCUGGGAGUGUCUCUUGACACUCCUUCUCAUCGUCCGCCAAACCCAGCCCAUCCCCAAAGCCUGUUGAUUGUAUUUCCUGCUUGUCACACAAAUGCCACCAGCUUUGAUGGGCACCUUGUUCCUCCCCUUUGUGGUACUUGUCACAGUUGCAAUUUGCCUGUGAGCUCCGCAGAAGACAGAUGCCACGGCUGCUUAUUCCUUGUCGUGUCCCUGGUUCCUAAAACAGUGCCUCGUGCAUCACUGGUGUUCAAUAAAUACUUGCCAAAUCAUUGAAUAAAUAAGCAAAUGAAUGAAGGAAUGCAGUUUUGAGUGAGGAUGGUGUUGAAAAGGAAUAAAGCCUUCCCCAGUAGUGCCUGAGGUCCAUGUAAGAAUGUCCUAGAUGAUAAGACAGGAGACACACGGGCGUGGUAGAUGGGCUCUCCCCACCCCUCCCCAUAAGAGUGCAAAGCUGGGACAAGCCAGAGGCUUCACAGGCCUGGUAACUGGGGGGUAGGGUUUGGUGAUUCCUACCCAGGGCUGGGGGCAUCGGGAGGCUCUUCCUCUCUACCUGGACUGUGUUUACCAGGUGUGUUUCCCAUUCAUUAUUUUCCAGUGGGUACUGGGUUCAAAGUUUCUAUAAGCAGUGGGGGCUUUGAGGUUCGAGGAAAGUGUAGUAUAGCUUUCUCUUCCUUUUAGGAAGAUUUCUGUUUUUCUUUUUCUUUUUUUUUUUUUUUUUUUGAGACAGAGUCUUGCUCUGUCACCCCAGCUGGAGUGCAGUGGCAUGAUCGAGGCUCACUCCAACCUCCGCCUCCCAGGUUCAAGUGAUUCUUGUGCCUCAGACUCCUGAGUAGCUGGGAUUACAGACAUGAGCCUCUGCACCCGUCCUAGGAAGAUUUCAAAACGAAGAUGAGUCUAUUGUAAUUUAGAGGGCCAUUUUAAACUCCCUGUGUUGGUGGCAGAUGGUUUGGGUCUGGCAGCUAGCUCUAUCCCAACCUUCUCUAUCCACCCUGCAACUCCCUCCCCUCCCCCUCACAUUUUAUUUUGAAAUUUUCAAACAUUCUGAAAAGUUCAAAGAAGAGUACAAUGAACUUACCCUGGAUUCUCCAACUGUUAACAUUUUGCCACAAUUGCUUUGUCUCUGUUGGUCUCUCUCUGUCUUUGUAUAUUUCCACAUACUUUUAUUUUGCUGAGCAAUUUGAAAGCAAGUUGCUGACAUCUUGACACUUCACUUCUAGAUAUCUCAGCAUCUCCUAAUAAGGAUAUUCUCCCACAAAACCACAAUACCAUGAUCACAACCAUAAUAGCACCCAGUGUACUAUCUGUAUUCAAAUCUCUACAGUUGUCCCCGGAAGAGCUUUUAAUGCUGGAUUUUUUUUUCCUAUCCAGGAUCCAAUCAAGAUCAUGUAUGAUAUUUGGUUGUUAUGGCUCUUCAGUCUCUUUUCAUCUGAAACAGUCUUUCACCUUUUUAUUGUUGUUGUUGUUCUUUGUUUAUGUGAAAUUAGUUUUUGAUAAAGAGUCCAGGACAGUUGUCUUGUAGAGUGUCCCAUAUGUGGGUUAAUCUGAUUGCUUACACAAGAUUAGAUGCAGGUUGAAUAUCUUUGGCCAGAGUUCUGUACUGCAUAGGUGCCACUGUAGACUUCUCAGUCAAGUAUCACAUCUGGAGUAAAUAAUGUCAAUAUCACAUCUGGAGUAAAUAAUGUCAGGCAUCACAACUGGAGUAAAUAAUGUCAGUAUCACAUCUGGAGUAAAUAAUGUCAGUAUCACAUCUGGAGUAAAUAAUGUCAGUAUCAUAUCUGGAGUAAAUAAUGUCAGUUAUCACAUCUGGAGUAAAUAAUGUCAGGCAUCACAUCUGGAGUAAAUAAUGUCAGGCAUCACAUCUGGAGUAAAUAAUGUCAGGCAUCACAUCUGGAGUAAAUAAUGUCAAUAUCACAUCUGGAGUAAAUAAUGUCAGUUAUCACAUCUGGAGUAAAUAAUGUCAGUUAUCACAUCUGGAGUAAAUAAUGUCAGUUAUCACAUCUGGAGUAAAUAAUGUCAGGUAUCACAUCUGGAGUAAAUAAUGUCAGUAUCACAUCUGGAGUAAAUAAUGUCAGUAUCACAUCUGGAGUAAAUAAUGUCAGUAUCACAUCUGGAGUAAAUAAUGUCAGGCAUCACAUCUGGAGUAAAUAAUGUCAGGUAUCACAUCUGGAGUAAAUAAUGUCAGUAUCACAUCUGGAGUAAAUAAUGUCAAUAUCACAUCUGGAGUAAAUAAUGUCAGGUAUCACAUCUGCAGUAAAUAAUGUCAGUAUCACACCUGGAGUAAAUAAUGUCAGGCAUUACAUCUGGAAUAAAUAAUGUCAGUAUCACAUCUGCAGUAAAUAAUGUCAGUUAUCACAUCUGGAGUAAAUAAUGUCAGGCAUCACAUCUGGAGUAAAUAAUGUCAGUAUCACAUCUGGAGUAAAUAAUGUCAGGUAUCACAUCUGCAGUAAAAAACAUCAGUAUCACAUCUGGAGUAAAUAACAUCAGGUAUCACAUCGGGAGUAAAUAAUGUCAGUAUCGCAACUGGAGUAAAUAAUGUCAGGCAUCACAUCUGGAGUUAAUAAUGUCAGGCAUCACAUCUGGAGUAAAUAAUGUCAGUAUCACUUCUGCAGUAAGUAAUGUCAGGUAUCACAUCUGGAGUAAAUAAUGUCAGGUAUCACAUCUGGAGUACAUAAUGUCAGUAUCACAUCUGGAGUAAAUAAUGUCAGGUAUCACAUCUGGAGUAAAUAAUGUCAGGCAUCACAUCUGGAGUACAUAAUGUCAGCCACUCUUGGUCAUUCUGAGUUUGAUCACUAAUCCUCACUCUGCUUCCCCUUUUGUAAGUAAUUUUUAGAAUCUUCACAUGGUCACAGGAUUAACUGAAUAUCCAAGUCACCAAACAGUUUUGGCAACUCUUGGUGAUGCUUACCUGAAGGAAGCAUUACAUUGGAGGUUGGAAAAUGGUAGUUUUUCAUUCUUUUAUUCCUGCUACAUUUACUAGCUGGCCUUUUUUUCUGUAAGAAUUUCCAAAUCCCACUAUAUUAAAAACAUUAAUCACUGUGGGUUCGUGGAGUUUUAAAAAUGCUAUAAUUGAAACUACAGUUAUUCAUUUUGAUGUUCAAAUCAUCCCACAUUUGAGCAGUGGGAGCCCUCAGGUCAGCUCCUGAAUCCUUUUGACAUGAUCACAUUUAUCUUCCAAAACUGUUUUGCUUUCUGGUGUGACAAGAGAUUCCAUGCUCACGUUGUACAUUUUCACCCCUGACCUAGAAUCUACCAUUUCUCUAACGAGCCCUGGUGCCUUUAGUGGUGAAUGGUAUAGAGAAAGAAAGAACCUGGUGAUAUAUGCGAUCAUUGCUACUCGGCUGUCAUUCAGUGGACAGGAUUAGAAAACUCAUUUUAAAAAAAAUUACAAGUUCAAACUGAUAUAUUUCCUACUCAAAUUUAACAUUACAGUUUUUCUUUCACUUCUUUACUGACUACUAGUAUCUUUUUUCCCCGUCAGUAAAAUAUAUAUUUGCUUAUUUGCUUUCCACUAUACAUGCACAAAAGAGUUUCAGAAUUACAAGACCAAUAUUACUGCUAACAGUAAACAUACUAAAUAGAAGUUUUUCUAUAGUUCUUCUGUUCUUAGAACAGAUCCUUCUCCACAAUCAGAGUGUUUGCUCUGUGUGGUUGUGGUAUCAGUUUGAGGCGUUAUCAGUUUGAUU
rnacentral:lncRNA from 1 species